GAUGAACGCUGGCGGCGUGCUUAACACAUGCAAGUCGAACGAUGAAGCCCAGCUUGCCGGGUGGAUUAGUGGCGAACGGGUGAGUAACACGUGAGUAACCUGCCCUUAACUCUGGGAUAAGCCUGGGAAACUGGGUCUAAUACCGGAUAGGAGCGCCUACCGCAUGGUGGGUGUUGGAAAGAUUUAUCGGUUUUGGAUGGACUCGCGGCCUAUCAGCUUGUUGGUGAGGUAGUGGCUCACCAAGGCGACGACGGGUAGCCGGCCUGAGAGGGUGACCGGCCACACUGGGACUGAGACACGGCCCAGACUCCUACGGGAGGCAGCAGUGGGGAAUAUUGCACAAUGGGCGAAAGCCUGAUGCAGCGACGCCGCGUGAGGGAUGACGGCCUUCGGGUUGUAAACCUCUUUCAGUAGGGAAGAAGCGAAAGUGACGGUACCUGCAGAAGAAGCACCGGCUAACUACGUG
rnacentral:rRNA from 1 species